UUUUAGUUGGUGUAAGGCACAUUUCAUUUUGAUUGAAAUAGAGGUAAUUCAUUAGUACUACUAGAAA
rnacentral:tRNA from 1 species